rfam:Capsicum annuum cultivar Zunla-1 chromosome 2, whole genome shotgun sequence
UGGGAGCAUCUAUGAGGUGAGAUGUUGCAUACACAAUCUUUCCACAGUAAAAUUCUAUAAAAAUCUAAUUGAGGUACUUGAGAUAGUUCUUCAAGUUAUUAAUCUGGACACACAAAA